AGACUCUGUGCGCGUGCAUAUCAAUAAGCGGAGGAAAAGAAACUAACUAGGAUUCCCUCAGUAACGGCGAGUGAAGCGGGAAGAGCUCAAAUUUGAAAUCUUAAAGGGUUUCCCUUGACGAAUUGUAGUUUAAAGAAGUGUUUUCUGUUGGAGUUUCGGUAAAAGUUCUUUGGAAUAGGACAUCAUAGAGGGUGAGAAUCCCGUAUUUGACCGUUACUUUCCAGCUGUGUGAUACACUUUCAAAGAGUCGGAUUGUUUGGGAAUGCAGUCCAAAAUGGGUGGUAAAUUUCAUCUAAAGCUAAAUAUUGGCGAGAGACCGAUAGCGAACAAGUACCGUGAGGGAAAGAUGAAAAGAACUUUGAAAAGAGAGUUAAACAGUACGUGAAAUUGUCAAAAGGGAAGCGUUUGACACCAGUGUUGUUUAGUUGAAAAUCAAUUCAAUAGUUUUUGAUUCUAAGUAGUAUUGACUUCAUCAGCUUGCUGCUUUCUUCUCAGAAAUUAUUGAAUGCACUUUUCAGUUAACAAGUCAACAUCAAUUUCUUUUGUUGUAAAAGGGUAAGAGGAAGGUGGCUUGCGCUUCGGCUCAAGUGUUUAUAGCCUUUUAUCUCUGCAAUCGGAGAGAUUGAGGUCUGCAGCGUAGAUCCUUCGGGGUUAGAUACAUUGGUGCUAAGUUAUAGCUUGUCAUAGACAACUUGUUGACUAUGUUCAGUCAUUGUAGCUUACUCGCUGAUGCUAUUUUACCUACGCUUAGGAUGUUGAUCUGUAGUGCGUGCGC
rnacentral:rRNA from 1 species